GUCCACGCUGUAAACGAUGAGUGCUAGACGUUGGGGUAACCUUCAGUGUCGCAGCUAACGCAUUAAGCACUCCGCCUGGGGAGUACGGUCGCAAGAUUAAACUCAAAGGAAUUGACGGGGCCCGCACAAGCGGUGGAGCAUGUGGUUUAAUUCGACGCAACGCGAAGAACCUUACCAGCCCUUGACAUGGGUAUCGCGGGUUUCAGAGAUGAGACCCUUCAGUUCGGCUGGAUACCACACAGGUGCUGCAUGGCUGUCGU
rnacentral:rRNA from 1 species